rnacentral:tRNA from 1 species
UGGUAUGAGGCAAAUACGGUUAGUUGCGGCGGUCUGUAACACGGAGUAAGCAGGUUCGAAUCCUGCCAUACCAA